rnacentral:rRNA from 1 species
UAGGGAAUCUUCGGCAAUGGGGGCAACCCUGACCGAGCAACGCCGCGUGAGUGAAGAAGGUUUUCGGAUCGUAAAGCUCUGUUGUAAGAGAAGAACGUGUGUGAGAGUGGAAAGUUCACACAGUGACGGUAACUUACCGGAAAGGGACGGCUAACUACGUGCCAGCAGCCGCGGUAAUAGGUAGGUCCCGAGCGUUGUCCGGAUUUAUUGGGCGUAAAGCGAGCGCAGGCGGUUUAAUAAGUCUGAAGUUAAAGGCAGUGGCUUAACCAUUGUUCGCUUUGGAAACUGUUAAACUUGAGUGCAGAAGGGGAGAGUGGAAUUCCAUGUGUAGCGGUGAAAUGCGUAGAUAUAUGGAGGAACACCGGUGGCGAAAGCGGCUCUCUGGUCUGUAACUGACGCUGAGGCUCGAAAGCGUGGGGAGCAAACAGG